UACGGAGGAUGCGAGCGUUAUCCGGAUUUAUUGGGUUUAAAGGGUGCGUAGGCGGCUUUUUAAGUCAGCGGUGAAAUUUUGUCAGCUUAACUGUAAAAUUAGCCGUUGAAACUAGUCGGUCUUGAGUGCAAAUGAGGUAGGCGGAAUGUGUCGUGUAGCGGUGAAAUGCAUAGAUAUGACACAGAACACCAAUUGCGAAGGCAGCUUACUGGGAUGCAACUGACACUGAGGCACGAAGGCGUGGGGAGUCAAACAGGAUUAGA
rnacentral:rRNA from 1 species